AGCUAGUUGGUGAGGUAACGGCUCACCAAGGCUAUGAUCGUUAGCUGGUCUGAGAGGAUGGCCAGCCACACUGGAACUGAGACACGGUCCAGACUCCUACGGGAGGCAGCAGUGGGGAAUCUUGCACAAUGGGCGAAAGCCUGAUGCAGCGACGCCGCGUGGGGGAUGAAGCUUUUCGGAGUGUAAACCCCUUUCGACCCGGACGAAUGCCCCGCAAGGGGACUGACGGUACGGGUAUAAGAAGCCCCGGCUAACUACGUGCCAGCAGCCGCGGUAAGACGUAGGGGGCCAGCGUUGCUCGGAAUUACUGGGUGUAAAGGGUUCGUAGGCGGUGUGGCAAGUCGGGAGUGAAAUCUCUGGGCUCAACCCAGAGGCUGCUUCCGAAACUGCUGUGCUUGAGUGUGGGAGAGGCGCGUGGAAUUGCAGGUGUAGCGGUGAAAUGCGUAGAUAUCUGCAGGAACACCCGUGGCGAAAGCGGCGCGCUGGACCACAACUGACGCUGAGGAACGAAAGCUAGGGGAGCAAACAGGAUUAGAUACCCUGGUAGUCCUAGCCCUAAACGAUCAGGACUUGGGGUGCUUCACGUUCGUGGAGCGUCCCGGAGCUAACGCGUUAAGUCCUGCACCUGGGGAGUACGGUCGCAAGACUGAAACUCAAAGGAAUUGACGG
rnacentral:rRNA from 1 species